UUCAUGUGUGUCUUACCCUCGGAUUUGUUUUUAAAAUGUGUUUUUUUCCUCCAAAGGAUCGACAAAUUGAUAGAGCAGCCUCCAAGGCCACAUCUUAUUAGACAGCAAGCUGCCUUCUUUAUUAUGGGAGUAAAUAAUAUCCAAAAGCUUUAGAAAGCCUUAAUUUUUGCCUUGGUAUUCGCACCAGAAAUGGAACACAGUUUAUCUGCCUUGAUUUAAGAUUAUGACACUGAAUUGAACAAGAAUACUGUGUGAAAACAGUGUUUAGUAUUUGUGGAUCUUUAUAAUUUCAACAGUUUAAAAAUAACAAUCAACAAAUUCAUCUAAAUGGCAUCCUAUUUUACAACUACGAAAAAGACUAUCUGCUUCCUUGCAAAGGAGCCCGGGGCUUUGAAAGGAUUCAGUCAGUCUAGAGCAAGAGCUCUAACUCAGUUUCAUGUGGACUGCCCACUCCCGGAAAGACGUCUACAUGCGCAAAUGGUUUUCUAAGGGGUGGACCUAUUAAAUUCAUCAGCUUUCCAAAUUAUGUGAAAAAAUAUUCUGUGAACCAAUGUGGCUUAAGAAACACUGUUGUCUUUGCGAAUGUUUAUGAGACAUUGAAAAAGCAGUUGUGGGUGAUUGCAGUGUUGCUCUUUGCAAACAAGUCGCUACACUGAUACAGGAAAGUCAGGUGAACCCUAUUAAAGCAAUUGUUUGUCCCCCUGUUUGAGAAACGCAAAACUUACCUCUGGCCCAAAACAACUAUUAAAGUCAUGGCUGCCCUGCGUUUAGAGACCUCUAUGGAUCUUGCUGCCUAGCACUGUCCUGGGUAGGAAUGCCAUCUCUUAAGGAAUGAGUCCUCCUUACCCAGAGUGCAGUCAAGUGUGCGAGACCCUUCCUCCCUCGGAUUAACAGAACGCUGCCUGGGUCUCCUGCAGUGAUGGGCCGCAGUACCCCACACGGUUCCUGUUGGAGUCUACUGGGGACUUUUCCCUGAAGUCACCAAGUAAGACAAGCUGUCUCUCUUCUCUGCGGCUGCACUGAGAGCAGCAGGCCAGCAUCAGGGAAGAAUCCCAAGUCAACACAGAGGACUGCUUCACCUCAUCUUGUCCUAAGAUUAGGACUCUGGACAUUGCGUUGUCUGAGGUCCAUCAGCACUGUCCAUUCCACGUUUGUUUCUCUGGAAGAAAGAACCAAAAUAUCGCCUACUCUGAGGACUAUCGACUUUUAGCUUCAAAUCCAACACAUAACGUAAGCUUGAGUCAUUUGCAGGAAAGUGGCUGCACUUUGAAACCAUGUUAAGUGAAACAUCGCAAACACAGGCUUAGAUAUCACAUAGUUUCUCUUUUAUGAAAAACUCAAAGUAUAAAUAAAGAAAAACAGAAGACAAUAGGAAGCAGGGAAGUCUUUUUCAAAGGGGAAGGGAACAGGAGAUGGGGAGGCGGGGCAGAAAAGGGCUGAAAAUAGGGAUUCAUUUUUCUUUUAAAAAAUUUUAUUAAAAAUAAAAGAAUGAAACCAGAAAAGAAGAAAAUAAGAAAAAGCAGAAAACACAUAGAUUAAUAUUUUGAGUCUUACAUUUCUAUAAAAAUAAAAGAGACUCAAUAGUCUGAUCAGCUUUGAUAAAGGAACAAAAUUAGAGCUCCAGCCCUCUCCAGUCCCACAACUUAUCACAAAGUUGCACCAAUCAUGACAAAACGUCACUGAUGCCAAGAUGGACAAAUCGCCGAGGUACCAACAUUAAGUCCCAAAAUAGAUACGCACACAACAGACACUGAUUUCUGGCAAAUCUGAAAAGCAACAAAUGGAGAAAGGACUGUAUCCUCAAUAAACAUAUGGGAACAACUGGAUGUCCCCAUGCAGAGACCCCAAACCUUACAGCACAUCCAAAACUUAAGACAUCCAAAAGUCACCUCAAAAUGGCUCACAGUGGGUUAAAGUGAAGGCAGGGGUGGCCUGAGUCAUUGCUCGGCUGAUCACUCUCUCUGGGACAAAGUACAUGUUUUUUCCUUAUCAUACUAAUGAGGCAAUGAGAUGGUUAUGAUGUGUAACAUGUUCUUUCACUCGUAAGAAUGUUUUCAUGGAGCAUCCAUUUACCUAGAAAAGUGUCCAGUUGUAUCAGGCACUUUUAUCUUCUCACCAGGAAUGUAAACAUUGUGCACUGCGAAUACUUACUAAUAAAAAUAAAUAAAAUGCACGACACACACAGUAUCCAUUAUCAGACACUGGGAGGGGCAGGGGCCCUGGAGACACGCGGAGUAUCUGUGCUGGUCCUAGGCAUUUGUGUGUAAUUAAAUUCCUGUACCACUUAGGGAAUUUUAUUGAUCACUCAGCCUCUUUGUUCUCAUUAGUGAUCAUUAGAUUUUUUUCAGGUUCUAUAUUUGAUGUCUCUAUAUUGCUAAAUGUUACUUUUAAGUACUGUAUUUAGGCUGUGGAUUUCUAAAGAGUAGGAGCUUUGUCUAAAUAUUUGAUUUGUGUGCUGCUUACUUACCUAGACAGAGUUUUUAAAUGCUCUUGAUAAUGUUGACAAUUUGUCAAAUGUUGAAAUGAAUUUUGCUGAUUACCUUUCUGGCUGCAGUAAGUUGAAGAGCUCCAUCCAAAUAGUCACGUCUUUGAAACCAGUUGCACUGAGAAUUCCUAAUCUAGAUGUCUGGAAAAAGAGCAGGUACCUUCUUACUGUGAUGUUUAUGUUGCAAGAAAUAAUCUACCAGUAAGGAGUACUGGUUUAGAAUUUUCAGGAAAAGAUGGCUGCUUAUUAGAAUACUUGGCGGAAGGAUAUUUUGAAACAUUCUAGAAUAUUGGGAAAUUUAGUUCAUGACUAGGUGUUUACGUAUAUAGGACUACAUGACUUCAUUUAAAUAUUCUCAAUAAAUGUAACAUUGAAAGACUAAAGACCUAGACA